CUCCCCUACCCACAGUGAAGAUGAGGGGGAUGAACAAGACUCAUCGGCAAUCGUGGUAGCAGCAUUACUUGAUCUUGUCGCAAACAACCUCUUUUUUGUGUUUUUGUCGAUUCGGAUUUUUGUCUGUAUUCUAUGCCACUCCCGCCUUGAAUCCACCGGCCCCAGUCAUUUUGAUUUCGUGUUUUUGUUUUUUCGUGGAUUCAGAUUUU
rnacentral:ribozyme from 1 species